AGUGACUUCAAGUCAAGGUGCUAGUUAUACGCAGAGGAAAAUCUCCAAAUCCCUUUGCUUUUUCGUGCAAAUCCGGGGCAAGACAGAGGGGAGUAGAAUCAAGAAGUCUGUGAUUCAAGCAAUUUAGCGAGGAGGAAGAGGAAAUGAAGAGAGCAUCUGAAGCUGAACCCAUCAGGCCGAACCUCGCGUGUUCUUAUCCAGAUACUGGUACUUCUAUUUUAUUGAAAAAAGCCAGACAGUUGCUCCGAGGAGACAAUAGAGAAUCUUCUGCUUCCUCUUCUUGCUCAUUUAAUUCUCCCUUGUGUGGUAAGACUGAUUGAUUUCAUUUUUUUGUCAGCCACGAAAUCUUUGUACGAAAAUUUUCAGGAGAGGGUAUGCUGCUCAAUUGUUUAUUUAGACAUUGUCAGUGACAAUUACUGUAAACAAAACAACAUAUGGAUAGGAUGGAUACUGGAAGUGGGAGAAUCGUUUGUUGAAAGUGGGAUAUUUCAGUGACAAUUACUGGAAACAAAAUAUUUCAGCUAAUUACUGUUUUAGCGUCUACUUUUAUUGUUUUAGUGUCUACAUUGUCAUGAGUGGUAUUGGUGGUGACAAUUGUUGAAACCCUUUUAACAAAGCGAAUCAUUUUUAGCACUAAUUGACUUAUGGUGUAACUAGUGUUUAGUUUAAUUACUAUGUGGAUGAUCAGUUGUUGAAUUGUUUUUUGAAGAAUCGAUUAUCAUCUCAAUUGGUUGUGAGCUUGUCAACUAACAAAUAAAGAUUUUGGGCAUCUCUGGCCCAUAGUUGUAUUGAGUUGGAUGAUCAGGUCAGGUUCUUUAAUAUGCUGGUUGAUUUGUGUAUUGGGUAAUUUUAGGAUUAUUGAGGCUGAGGGCUUGGGAAUCUUAGCUUUAGAAGAAAAUAGCAAUGGAAACUUAUUCCAAAGUAUUAGUUUUUUGGGCAAUGAGGAGGGUCAUAGGAUGAUGGGACGACAAGAGUGGCAUUGGUAGAGCUUAAUGAGUUAAUGAAGCUAUCUAUGAUGCAGAGAAAGUCGAACGAAACAGGACUGGCUUAUCAUCUUCUUCAGUAAGUGAGACAGAUGCUUUGCUCUUGGAAAUGACAUUAGGAGGAAACAAAGAAUUGUGGGAGAUGCAUUGGUUAGGACAUAAGGAGAAGAUGAUGAAGGGCUCUGGUGAUGACAAAACUGGGAAUGACCAGAUAAUCUUGCCACCAGCUACUUCUUGCUCAGUUAAUUCUCCCUUUCCUGUUGAGAGCGAUGAUGACAGGCACAGGUCGAUGCAAGCGCCGAAGUUUGAUCUGUGGAACUACUAGUGGGUCUGAUGACGUGAACUCGAGCCAAGUGCCUCAACGAGUCACUACAAGCCAUGGUUCAGGUUGUCCAGGAAUCAGUUGAAGCGCCAAGCAUGGAAUCGAGUCUUGUUAAUUUGCUCCAAGCCAUGGUUGAAGAUGCUUCUUGAAGGCCGAGCUUAGUCUGUAGAUUUGGGCUUGAAUUAGUAGCUAAAUAAUACGGUCCAGCCUUAAGCUUGGGUCCGUGUUUCUUUGUUAGGGUUUUGGGCUGCAUGUUUAGGUCCAGUUAGUCGUGUCGUUUCUUAAGCCCGUGAUUGGUUAUGUGUCAAGACACAUACAAACAUCGUUCUGCAUUCGUUAAUGGCAGAUUACAAUAUUUCAGAAAACCUUCCUGAGAGAUUGCUUUGUUGGCUGUACGAACUAUUCUUGAACAUCUAGAGUUCGUUCCGCUUAUUAAUCAA